rnacentral:rRNA from 1 species
AACGAACGCUGGCGGCAUGCCUAACACAUGCAAGUCGAACGAGACCUCCGGGUCCAGUGGCGUACGGGUUUGUAACCCGUGGGAACCUUCCCUUAUGGUUGGCCUAACUCUCCGAAAGGGGUGCCUAUACCGGACAGUGUCUUCGGACCAAGGAUUUAUUGCCCUUGGAUGGGCCCGCGUUGGAUUCGCUGGUUGGUAGGGUAAUAGGCUACCAAGGCGUGGAUUCAUAGCUUGUUACAGAGGAUGGUCAGCAACACUGAGAGUAAGACACGGCCCGGACUCCUACGGGAGGCAGCAGUGGGGAACGGUGGACCGUGGGCGAAGGCCUGAUCCAGCAAUGCCGCGAGAGUGAUGAAGGCCUUAGAGUUGUAAAGCGCUUGUACCCGGGAUGAUAAUGACGGUACCGAGAGAAUAAGCUCCGGCUAACUCCGUG